rnacentral:rRNA from 1 species
CCAGACUCCUACGGGAGGCAGCAGUGGGGAAUAUUGACCAAUGGGCGAAAGCCCGACCCAGCCAUGCCGCGUGUGUGAGGAGGGUCUUCGGAUUGUAAAGCACUUUAAGUUGGGAGGAAGGGCGCUCGGUGAAUACCCAAGCGUCUUGACGUUACCGACAGAAUAAGCACCGGCUAACUUCGUGCCAGCAGCCGCGGUAAUACGAAGGGUGCAAGCGUUAAUCGGAAUUACUGGGCGUAAAGCGCGCGUAGGUGGUUCGGCAAGUUGGAUGUGAAAGCCCCGGGCUCAACCUGGGAACCGCAUCCAAAACUACUGGGCUAGA